rnacentral:rRNA from 1 species
AGUGAACGCUGGCGGUAGGCCUAACACAUGCAAGUCGAACGGCAGCACAGUAAGAGCUUGCUCUUACGGGUGGCGAGUGGCGGACGGGUGAGGAAUACAGCGGAAUCUACUUUUUCGGGGGGGUUAACGUAGGGAAACUUACGCUAAUACCGCAUACGACCUACGGGUGAAAGCAGGGGAUCUUCGGACCUUGCGCGAUUGAAUGAGCCGAUGUCGGAUUGGCUAGUUGGCGGGGUAAAGGCCCACCAAGGCGACGAUCCGUAGCUGGUCUGAGAGGAUGAACGGCCACACUGGAACUGAGACACGGUCCCGACUCCUACGGGAGGCCGCAGUGGGGAAUAUUGGACGAAGGGCGAAAGCCUGAUCCAGCCAUACCGCGUGGGUGAAGAAGGCCUUCGGGUUGUAAAGCCCCUUUGUUGGGAAAGAAAAGCAGCAGGUUAAUACCCCGCUGUUCUGACGGUACCCAAAGAAUAAGCACCGGCUAACUUCGUG